CCUACGGGUGGCAGCAGUGAGGAAUAUUGGUCAAUGGACGAGAGUCUGAACCAGCCAAGCAGCGUGAAGGAUGACUGCCCUAUGGGUUGUAAACUGCUUUUAUAAAGGAAUAAAACGAGAUACGUGUGCCUUUCUGAAAGUACCUUACGAAUAAGGAUCGGCUACUCCGUUGCAACCACCGCGGUAAUACGGAGGAUUCAAGCGUUUUCCGGGUUUAUUGGGUUUAAAGGGUGCGUAGGCGGGUUGAUAAGUUAGGUGUGAAAGUUUGCGGCUCAACUGUGAAAUUGCCAUUGAUACUGGCAGUCUUGAGAGCAGUUGAGGUAGGCGGAAUGCAUGGUGUAGCGGUGAAAUGCUUAGAUAUCACGAAGAACCCCGAUUGCGAAGGCAGCUUACUAAGCUAUGACUGACGUUGAUGCUCGAAAGUGUGGGUAGCAAACAGGAUUAGAUACCCGAGUAGUC
rnacentral:rRNA from 1 species